rnacentral:rRNA from 1 species
GGGUCAGUAGGUUGGUCGUGCCACCGGUACGUACUGGUCUCACUGAUCCCUCCUUCCUGAAGAACCGUAAUGCCAUUAAUUUGGUGUUGCGGGGAAACAGGACUGUUACUUUGGGAAAAUUAGAGUGUUUAAAGCAAGCUAACGCUUGAAUACAUUAGCAUGGAAUAAUGAAAUAGGACGAUCGAUCCUAUUUUGUUGGUUUCUAGGAUUGACGUA